rnacentral:rRNA from 1 species
AGAGUGAACGCUGGCGGUAGGCCUAACACAUGCAAGUCGAACGGCAGCACAGUAGGAGCUUGCUCUUACGGGUGGCGAGUGGCGGACGGGUGAGGAAUACAUCGGAAUCUACCUUUUGGUGGGGGAUAACGUAGGGAAACUUACGCUAAUACCGCAUACGCCCUUCGGGGGAAAGCCGGGGACCAGCAAUGGCCUGGUGCUGAUAGAUGAGCCGAUGUCGGAUUAGCUAGUUGGUGAGGUAAUGGCUCACCAAGGCGACGAUCCGUAGCUGGUCUGAGAGGAUGAUCAGCCACACUGGAACUGAAGACACGGUCCAGACUCUACGGAGCAGCAGUGGGAAUUA